rnacentral:rRNA from 1 species
CCUACGGGAGGCAGCAGUGGGGAAUUUUCCGCAAUGGGCGAAAGCCUGACGGAGCAAUACCGCGUGAGGGAGGAAGGCUCUUGGGUUGUAAACCUCUUUUUUCAGGGAAGAUAAUGACGGUACCUGAGGAAUAAGCAUCGGCUAACUCCGUGCCAGCAGCCGCGGUAAUACGGAGGAUGCAAGCGUUAUCCGGAAUGAUUGGGCGUAAAGCGUCCGCAGGUGGUUUUAAAAGUCUGUUGUUAAAGCGUGAGGCUUAACCUCAUAAGGGCAAUGGAAACUGUAAGACUAGAGUACGUUCGGGGCAAGGGGAAUUCCCAGUGUAGCGGUGAAAUGCGUAGAGAUUGGGAAGAACACCGGUGGCGAAAGCGCCUUGCUAGGCCGUAACUGACACUGAGGGACGAAAGCUAGGGGAGCGAAUGGGAUUAGAUACCCCAGUAGUCCUAGCCGUAAACGAUGGAUACUAGGCGUUGUCUGUAUCGACCCGGACAGUGCCGUAGCUAACGCGUUAAGUAUCCCGCCUGGGGAGUACGCACGCAAGUGUGAAACUCAAAAGGAAUUGACGG